AGAGUUUGAUCAUGGCUCAGGAUGAACGCUUGCGGCGCGCCUAACCCAUGCAAGUCGUACGAUCCCGCAAGGGAGAGUGGCGGAAGGGUGCGUAACACGUAGGAACUUACCCCGUCGGAGGGAAUAACCCCGCGAAAGCGGGGCUAAUACCCAAAAUGAUUCGUGAGAAUCAGAGUCGAAAGGCCUGACGGGAGAGGCCUGCGGCCCAUCAGCUAGUUGGUGAGGUAAUGGCUCACCAAGGCUAUGACGGGUAGGGGGUCUGAGAGGACGGCCCCCCACACUGGAACUGAAACACGGUCCAGACGCCUACGGGUGGCAGCAGGGAGGAAUCUUGGACAAUGGGGGAAACCCCGAUCCAGCGACGCCGCGUGAGGGAUGAAGGCCUUCGGGUUGUAAACCUCUUUUAGGGGAGACGAGAAAGGACGGUAUCCCCAGAAGAAGCCACGGCUAACUACGUGCCAGCAGCCGCGGUAAUACGUAGGUGGCGAGCGUUAUCCGGAUUUACUGGGCGUAAAGCGCUUGUAGGUGGUUUUGUAAGUUGGGCGUGAAACCUCUCGGCUCAACCGAGAGACGCCGUCCAAUACUGCAAGACUUGAGGGUGCCAGAGGGAGGUGGAAUUCCUGGUGUAGUGGUGAAAUGCGUAGAUAUCAGGAGGAACACCCGUGGCGAAGGCGGCCUUCUGGGGCAUUCCUGACACUGAGAAGCGAAAGCUAGGGGAGCAAACAGGAUUAGAUACCCCUGUAGUCCUAGCUGUAAACGAUGCGCACUAGUCGUUUCGCCCGUCAGGGUGAGCGGCGAAGGGAAACCAUUAAGUGCGCCGCCUGGGGAGUACGCUCGCAAGGGUGAAACUCAAAGGAAUUGGCGGGGGGCCCGCACAAGCGGUGGAGCAUGUGGUUUAAUUCGAUGCAACGCGAAGAACCUUACCUGGGUUUGACAUGGGCGUGGUAAGAGGCGGAAACGCUGAUGACCUUCGGGAGCGUCCACAGGUGCUGCAUGGCUGUCGUCAGCUCGUGUCGUGAGAUGUUGGGUUAAGUCCCGCAACGAGCGCAACCCCUGGUGCUAGUUUCAUGUGUCUAGCACGACUGCCCGCCACAAGCGGGAGGAAGGUGGGGAUGACGUCAAGUCAGCAUGGCCUUUAUAUCCAGGGCGACACACACGCUACAAUGGCGCGUACAAUGGGAGGCGACCCUGCGAGGGGGAGCGGAUCUAUAAAGCGCGUCUUAGUUCAGAUUGGAGUCUGCAACUCGACUCCAUGAAGGCGGAGUUGCUAGUAACCGCGCGUCAGCAUAGUGCGGUGAAUGCGUUCCCGGGCCUUGUACACACCGCCCGUCACGUCAUGGGAGUUGGAGACACCUGAAGUCGGGUAGCGAACCGCAAGGACGCGCCUGCCGAGGGUGGGAUCAGCGACUGGGACGAAGUCGUAACAAGGUAACGUA
rnacentral:rRNA from 1 species